rnacentral:rRNA from 1 species
UACGUAGGGGGCAAGCGUUGUCCGGAAUUAUUGGGCGUAGAGAGCGCGUAGGCGGUCCGAUAAGUCGGCUGUGAAAGUCAAGGGCUCAACCCUUGGAAGCCGGCCGAUACUGUCGGACUAGAGUCCGGAAGAGGCGAGUGGAAUUCCUGGUGUAGCGGUGAAAUGCGCAGAUAUCAGGAGGAACACCGAUGGCGAAGGCAGGUCUCUGGGCCGAUACUGACGCUGAGGAGCGAAAGCGUGGGGAGCGAACAGG